GGACGAACGCUGGCGGCGUGCCUAAUACAUGCAAGUCGAACGGUCUUUCUAUGGAAGCUUGCUUCCACUGAGAAGAUAGUGGCGAACGGGUGAGUAACGACGUGGGUAAACCUGCCCAUAAGAGGGGGAUAACAUCCGGAAACGGGUGCUAAUACCGCAUAGUUUUCUUGAUCGCAUGAUCGGGAAAGGAAAGACGGCCUUUGUGCUGUCGCUUAUGGAUGGACCCGCGGCGUAUUAGUUAGUUGGUGAGGUAACGGCUCACCAAGACGAUGAUACGUAGCCGACCUGAGAGGGUGAUCGGCCACAUUGGGACUGAGACGCGGCCCAAACUCCUACGGGAGGCAGCAGUAGGGAAUCUUCCGCAAUGGACGAAAGUCUGACGGAGCAACGCCGCGUGAGUGAAGAAAAGGUUUUCGGAUCGUAAAACUCUGUUGUCAGAGAAGAACAAGUUGGAGAGUAACUGCUCCAGCCUUGACGGUAUCUGACCAGAAAGCCACGGCUAACUACGUGCCAGCAGCCGC
rnacentral:rRNA from 1 species